AUUGAACGCUGGCGGCAUGCUUUACACAUGCUAGUCGAACGGCAGCGCGGGCUUCGGCCUGGCGGCGAGUGGCGAACGGGUGAGUAAUGCAUCGGAACGUGCCCAGUCGUGGGGGUAAGCCCGGCGAAAGCGGGGUUAAUACCGCAUACGACCUGUGGGGGAAAGUGGGGGACGGAGAGGCCUGGCGCUUUGGGGGCAGGCGGUGUGGGGUUAGCUAGUUGGUGGGGUAAAGGCUUACCAAGGCGACGAUACGUAGCUGGUCUGAGAGGACGGACAGUCACACUGGGACUGAGCAACGUCCCACACUCGUACGGUAGGAAGCGGUGGGGAAUUUUGGACAAUGGGGUCAAACGUCAUCCAGUCAUGCCGCGUGCGGUACGAAGGCCUUCGGGUUGUAAACAGCUUCUGUUCGGGAAGAAAUCCUGUGGGCUAAUACCCCGGGGUGCUGACGUUACCGGAAUAAUAAGCACCGGCUAACUCCGUG
rnacentral:rRNA from 1 species